rnacentral:rRNA from 1 species
GACGAACGCUGGCGGCGUGCUUAACACAUGCAAGUCGAACGGAAAGGCCCUGCUUUUGUGGGGUGCUUGAGUGGCGAACGGGUGAGUAACACGUGAGUAACCUGCACUUGUCUUUGGGAUAACUUCAGGAAACUGGGGCUAAUACCGGAUAGGAGCUCCUGCUGCAUGGUGGGGGUUGGAAAGUUUCGGCGGUUGGGGAUGGACUCGCGGCUUAUCAGCUUGUUGGUGAGGUAGUGGCUUACCAAGGCUUUGACGGAUAGCCGGCAUGAGAGGGGGACCGGCCACAAUGGGACUGAGGUACGGCCCAGACUGCUACGGGAGGCAGCAGUGGGGAAUAUUGCACAAUGGGCGGAAGCCUGAUGCAGCAACGCCGCGUGCGGGAUGACGGCCUUCGGGUUGUAAACCGCUUUCGCCGGUGACGAAGCGUGAGUGACGGUAAUUAGUAAAGAAGCACCGGCUAACUACGUG